UGCGGUCCGCGGCCGCUGCAGAUCUGGUUGAUUCUGCCAGAGGUCACUGCUAUCGGGGUUCGAUUAAGCCAUGCGAGUCGAGAGGGUUCGGCCCUCGGCGUAUUACUCAGUAACACGUGGAUAACCUGCCCUAAGGAAGGGGAUAACCUCGGGAAACUGAGGAUAAUACCCUAUAGGUUACAGACGCUGGAAUGCCCUGUAACCGAAAGUUCCGGCGCCUUAGGAUGGAUCUGCGGCCGAUUAGGUUGUUGUUGGGGUAACGGCCCAACAAGCCGAUAAUCGGUACGGGUUGUGGGAGCAAGAGCCCGGAGUUGGAUUCUGAGACACGAAUCCAGGCCCUACGGGGCGCAGCAGGCGCGAAAACUUUACAAUGCGGGAAACCGUGAUAAGGGAACCUCGAGUGCCUGUAUAUGCAGGCUGUCCAGGUGUCUAAAAAACACCUGAAGAAAGGGCCGGGCAAGACCGGUGCCAGCCGCCGCGGUAAUACCGGCGGCUCGAGUGGUGGCCACUUUUAUUGGGCUUAAAGCGUUCGUAGCUGGGUUGUUAAGUCUCUUGGGAAAUCUGGCGGCUUAACCGUCAGGCGUCCAAGGGAUAGUGGCAAUCUUGGAAAC
rnacentral:rRNA from 1 species